GAUUAAUGUUGAAAUUGUCUAUUUGUAUUUGAACUUAGCUUAGUGAAUUUUACAAGUUAAUAAUAAUAACACCAACAAAAAACUAUUCCUAUUAUACAAAAUAGGGCUUGCCGUUUUCGUUAAAGCUAUUGAGGUCUUCCUUUCAAACAUAAUAUUAUAGUCUUCCAUGCUUCUCGAUCGUCUGCUACCUCCCACCAGCCUAAAUUCCUAUAUUCGAGUUCUAAGACCACUGCCAAAUCCUUCUUAACGCAAUCUCUCCAACGAAUUCACCGUCUUCCAAGUGUUCUUUUGAUCCUUGGGUUUUCAAGUUUCACUUUUUUUUUACCAUUGAUUCUUGAUUCCUCCACACAAUCCUAAUUUCUUUGUUUUUAUCUCGUUCACGAUU